GGAACAGAGAGCGCGCUGAUUGAAGCAGCAGGUAAAAGUGAGGAGAAAAUAGUUGAUAAGAAAUUGUUAAAUGGAUAUAAUACAGGCUGAUUAUCAACUCGUGGACCUGUGGUGGUUUCAGUUGUGUGACUGCACCGAGUGGAUGACCUAAGUCAGUGUUUAUAUUAGUGUCUGUUGCUGCAUAUGAGAGAUCUCCGGUGGGGGAGGGGAUUCAGGCCUACUUCGACGGAGAUUGAGCAGGGGAGAACAAGCUUGUGAGAUCGCACGUGCCAGUUUCCACGUGAUUGAUAAACCGGAGUCUCAUAUAACAGCACAUAUAAGCCACUGCCGUUGUUUUGCACACCUUUAUUGGUUCUUUAACAUUGGUUGCACUAUUUCAAGUCAAAUUGGGGCUUGUGAUCUGGUGUUUUGAUUAGAGGUUAUUAUUGUAAAAGACUUAUUUUUAUUCUUUACAUUUCUUUUUAUACCUUAUUUCACUUUCUGUGCCCAUUGAAGUGAAUUGGGUAACGUCAUUUAUUUUGUUUUAUUAUUGUUUUAUUUGACUUUUCUUGUUUAACUGGAUUGAAGUCCUGAGAAAAUACUAUUUUUCCCCUGAACCAAACAUUAAUGCUGGGUCUCCAUUUGAGGCUCAGUCAAGAAUAAAAGAAUCCUUUUCAGUAGAUGUCUUGGCAUUGUCUUUUUCUUAGUAUAUUAGAAGGACGUCAAGCCGGCCACAUCUAAUUUUGGUGUCAGAAGUGGGAUUCAGUUUUGUUUGGGGGCUGAUUUCUUUUUGUUACAAUAGUGCAAAAGUAAAAGGGUGCAAACAACGGUAGUGGCGAAAGGCGACUGAGCGCUGGAAGGAACUGCAGUGACAUCCUGACAGAAGCGGCGGCAGGACAAAGGGCCAGCGCACCAAAUCUGCUGUGUGAGGACUUCGAGGAGGACAGUGUUUGUUGAACUGACUGUUUGAGAACUGAGACUUUCUGUGACUACCGCUCAAAGUCAUGGAGGCUGAGGACAUUGACGGUGCGGCUGCAAUGGCGGAGGACAUUCAAGGUGCAGGUGCUGCAGCGCCGGAAAUGGACAUUGAGGGAGGUAACCCCAUCUCACAGCUUCAGUCCCAGAUCUUGGAGUUGGGGCGUAGACAUGAUGAAGUAAUGUCAGCUCUUGCCAACAUGACUAAUGUUCAUACUAGAUCCUAUGUGUAUAUCCCAAGAGAGAGACAAAUUGUACCUUUCAGUGGAGAUCCAGGUAAAGACUGCCAAAAUGUCGAUG
ensembl:lncRNA